rnacentral:rRNA from 1 species
UGGGGAAUUUUGGACAAUGGGCGAAAGCCUGAUCCAGCAAUGCCGCGUGUGUGAAGAAGGCCUUCGGGUUGUAAAGCACUUUUGUCCGGAAAGAAAUCCUUGGCUCUAAUACAGUCGGGGGAUGACGGUACCGGAAGAAUAAGCACCGGCUAACUACGUGCCAGCAGCCGCGGUAAUACGUAGGGUGCAAGCGUUAAUCGGAAUUACUGGGCGUAAAGCGUGCGCAGGCGGUUUGCUAAGACCGAUGUGAAAUCCCCGGGCUCAACCUGGGAACUGCAUUGGUGACUGGCAGGCUAGAGUAUGGCAGAGGGGGGUAGAAUUCCACGUGUAGCAGUGAAAUGCGUAGAGAUGUGGAGGAAUACCGAUGGCGAAGGCAGCCCCCUGGGCCAAGUACUGACGCUCAUGCACGAAAAGCGUGGGGGAGCAAAACAGGAUUAGAUACCCCUGGUAGUCCACGCCCUAAAACGAUGGUCAACUAGUUGUUGGGGGAUUCAUUUCCUUAGUAACGUAGCUAACGCGUGAAGUUGACCGCCUGGGGGAGUACGGUCGCAAAGAUUAAAAACUCAAAUGAAUUGACGGGGGUCAUAGC